rnacentral:rRNA from 1 species
AACGAACGCUGGCGGCAGGCCUAACACAUGCAAGUCGAGCGAGACCUUCGGGUCUAGCGGCGGACGGGUGAGUAACGCGUGGGAAUAUGCCCUUUGGUACGGAAUAGCCUCGGGAAACUGAGAGUAAUACCGUAUGUGCCCUUCGGGGGAAAGAUUUAUCGCCAAAGGAUUAGCCCGCGUUGGAUUAGGUAGUUGGUGGGGUAAUGGCCUACCAAGCCUACGAUCCAUAGCUGGUUUGAGAGGAUGAUCAGCCACACUGGGACUGAGACACGGCCCAGACUCCUACGGGAGGCAGCAGUGGGGAAUCUUAGACAAUGGGGGCAACCCUGAUCUAGCCAUGCCGCGUGAGUGAUGAAGGCCUUAGGGUUGUAAAGCUCUUUCAGCUGGGAAGAUAAUGACGGUACCAGCAGAAGAAGCCCCGGCUAACUUCGUGCCAGCCGCCGCAGUAAGAC